rnacentral:miRNA from 1 species
UAGGUUUUAUGGUUUUGUUUU